UGUAGUAAAGUGUAAAAAGCACUUAAUUUUUUGAAAAUUAAAGGUAAGUGUAAUUCUUAAUAUUACAA
rnacentral:tRNA from 1 species